rnacentral:rRNA from 1 species
UACGGAAGGCAGCAGUGGGGAAUAUUGCACAAUGGGCGCAAGCCUGAUGCAGCCAUGCCGCGUGUAUGAAGAAGGCCUUCGGGUUGUAAAGUACUUUCAGUCGUGAGGAAGGUGUUAAGGUUAAUAACCUUAGCAAUUGACGUUAGCGACAGAAGAAGCACCGGCUAACUCCGUGCCAGCAGCCGCGGUAAUACGGAGGGUGCGAGCGUUAAUCGGAAUUACUGGGCGUAAAGGGCACGCAGGCGGUUAAUUAAGUUGGAUGUGAAAUCCCCGGGCUUAACCUGGGAAUGGCAUUCAAGACUGGUUAGCUAGAGUCUUGUAGAGGGGGUAGAAUUCCAUGUGUAGCGGUGAAAUGCGUAGAGAUGUGGAGGAAUACCGGUGGCGAAGGCGGCCCCUGGACAAAGACUGACGCUCAUGUGCGAAAGCGUGGGGAGCAAACAGGGAUUAGUACC